rnacentral:lncRNA from 1 species
GAAGUUUUCAUGUACAAAAUUUCCAGAGUGCUCUUAGAGCCUUAAUUUGAGGCCAAAAAAAAUUAGAGACAAAGAAUCAUGUGACGAAGAUACAUCUUAUGCACGUAUGUUGGAUAUGUUCAUAUUAGUAUCUACUUAAAACUUGAAGAGAUCAUUAGCUUAGUAGUGAUCAAAUUACUCCAUUUUCUCUUACAGAUGAGGAAAUUGAGGCAAAGUGAAGUUAAAUGAUUUGACAAGGGUCACACGACUUGACAGAGUCUAAGGAAGGGAUUUAAUGGAGGUUCCUCACUCAAAAUCCAGCACCUCAUUCACUUUGCAAUGCUGCCCAACAUAAAGACUCUAACAUAAGAAAAGACAUUGAAUUUGAAAGAAACACUAUGUCCAGUCUACAAAGGGGAUGGUAAUAUAGAUGCUGAGCCCAGUGAUAGCACAUAUUGAUGAUAUAAUUCUGGCAAGAACAGAAGAAAGAAGAUUAAUAUUUAAAAUAUAUAAUAAAAUAUUCUUUCACUGAACCUCACAACAAUCCCAUAAGUUUUGAAGAAUCCACUCUGUGCUGCUUUGGAUAUCACUGCUGGAUACUGCUUAACUAUAUUUUCCACUGAUUCCAGCUUCUGACUGCUCUACUACCCAGUAACUUUGUGCCCUGAGUAUGAUGUUACAUGGGAACCAUCAUGUGGAAUGUCUUCUUCCAGCUCCUCCAAGAAACACAAUUAUCAAUCAUCAAUUAUAAUUAGCAAUUAUCUCUCUCUAGAAGAUCCAGUGCCUGGAUAUUGGAACUUAAGUUAUUAAGAGGGCAACUCUAAAAUUCGGUGCUUCCCUGGAAAUAGACUUUCUUUUUUUAAAAACUAUAUUCAAGGAUAAUAUCUCUUUGUGAAAUUCAGAAAUCCCCAUCUUAUACACAAAAUUUUGGGUUCGGAAAUCAACAUAUUGGAAUCCCCCUCUCAGAUGGCACAUAAAACAUUUGUCUAAUAUGACCUCGUGUCCAUUAUUUAAGAGGUCUUUUCCUUUGGAGGCGAAGAGGAGAAAGAAAUACCUUCUGCUCUCCUCACUGCAUACAACAAUAAGUACAAGGGGAAAACUGAAAACCAAGUCCUUGAAGCAUCGUCUAGAGCUCAGUCCUGAGUACUUCUUCGCGAGGCGAUUCUUUCUUCAGAGGUGUUCCCAACAGAUCAGAAAUGGAAAUUAAGUGAGA